GACGAACGCUGGCGGCGUGCUUAACACAUGCAAGUCGAACGGAAAGGCCCUGCUUUUGUGGGGUGCUCGAGUGGCGAACGGGUGAGUAACACGUGAGUAACCUGCCCUUGACUUUGGGAUAACUUCAGGAAACUGGGGCUAAUACCGGAUAGGAGCUCCUGCUGCAUGGUGGGGGUUGGAAAGUUUCGGCGGUGGGGGAUGGACUCGCGGGUUAUCAGCUUGUUGGUGGGGUAGUGGCUUACAAAGGCUUUGACGGGUAGCCGGCCUGAGAGGGUGACCGGCCACAAUGGGACUGAGAUACGGCCCAGACUCCUACGGGAGGCAGCAGUGGGGAAUAUUGCACAAUGGGCGGAAGCCUGAUGCAGCAACGCCGCGUGCGGGAUGACGGCCUUCGGGUUGUAAACCGCUUUCGCCUGUGACGAAGCGUGAGUGACGGUAAUGGGUAAAGAAGCACCGGCUAACUACGUG
rnacentral:rRNA from 1 species